GAUGAACGCUGGCGGCGCGCCUAACACAUGCAAGUCGAACGAGCGAGAGAGAGCUUGCUUUCUCGAGCGAGUGGCGAACGGGUGAGUAACGCGUGAGGAACCUGCCUCAAAGAGGGGGACAACAGUUGGAAACGACUGCUAAUACCGCAUAAGCCCACGACCCGGCAUCGGGUUGAGGGAAAAGGAGCAAUCCGCUUUGAGAUGGCCUCGCGUCCGAUUAGCUAGUUGGUGAGGUAACGGCCCACCAAGGCAACGAUCGGUAGCCGGACUGAGAGGUUGAACGGCCACAUUGGGACUGAGACACGGCCCAG
rnacentral:rRNA from 1 species